GUGCUCACUUAGACAGCACACAUACCAAAAUGAAAUGAUACGGACAGGAUUAGCAUAACCCCUGUGUAAGGUAGCAUGCAUAUUUGCAAAGUAUUCCAUAUUUUU
ensembl:snRNA U6 U6 spliceosomal RNA